ACCGGACACUGCACACACGUCAUUUGGAGUCUUUACACUGGAAUAUACUGAAUGCGCUCAAAAUAGUGGCCUUCAUGACGAUGUGCUCCGUACUAUGACUAUGAGGUAUGAUCCAUGGACUAUAUGUGCUGUGUACUAUAUGUAUUAUGUACUCUAGGCUUUCCGGUAUGCACUAUGAAUAUGUGACAUACUAUGGACCAUGACUAUGUGAUAUAUACAACCCCAAUUCCAAUGACGUUGGGACGUUGUGUUAAACAUAAAUAAAAAGAGAAUACAAUGAUUUGCAAAUCAUGUUCAACCUAGAUUGAAUUGAACACUACAAAGACAAGAUAUUUAAUGUUCAAACUGAUCAACUUUAUUGUUUUUAGCAAAUAAUCAUUAACUUAGAAUUGUAUUUUGCUGCAACAGGUUCCAAAAAAGUCUGGACAGGGUCAUGUUUACCACUGAGUUGCAUCACCUUUUCUUUUAACAACAUUCAAUAAACGUUUGGGAACUGAGGACACUAAUUGUUGAAGCUUUGUAGGUGGAAUUCUUUCCCAUUCUUGCUUGAUGUACAGCUUCAGCUGCUCAACAGUCCGGGGUCUCUGUUGUAUUUUACGCUUCAUAAUGCGCCACACAUUAUCAAUGGGAGACAGGUCUGGACUGCAGGCAGGCCAGUGUAGUACCCGCACUCUUUUACUACGAUGCCACACUGUUGUAACAUGCAGAAUGUGGUUUGGCGUUGUCUUGCUGAAACAAGCAGGGGCGUCCAUGAAAAAGACGUUGCUUGGAUGGCAGCAUAUGUUUCUCCAAAACCUGUAUGUACCUUUCAGCAUUAAUGGUGCCUUUACCCAUGCCAUUGGCACUAACACAGCCCCAUACCAUCACAGAAGCUGGCUUUUGAACUUUGCGUCCAUAACAGCCCGGAUGGUUCUUUUCCUCUUUGGCCAGGAGGACACGACGUCCACAGUUUCCAAAAACAAUAUGAAAUGUGGACUCGUCGGACCACAGAAGACUUUUCCACUUUGCAUCAGUCCAUCUUAGAUGAGAUGAGUUUGAUGAGCAGUCCUCAACUUUCUCAGUCUUUUUUGCCACCUGUCCCAGCUUUUUUGGAACAUGUUGCAGCCAUAAAAUUCCAAGUUAAUGAUUAUUUGCUAAAAACAAUCAAGUUUAUCAGUUUGAACAUUAAAUAUCUUGUCUUUGUAGUGUAUUCAAUUAAAUAUAGAUUGAACAUGAUUUGCAAAUAGCUGUAAUCUGUUUUUAUUUAUGUUUAACACAACGUCCCAACUUCAUUGGAAUUGGGGUUGUACUAUGACUACAGUAUGUUGUAUGUACUAUGACUGCAACAUUUGCUAUGUGGUAUGGAUUAUGUAUUAUAACCAACUAGACAUGUCACAUUGAACACUGACGUCCGGUGCACGUGUGUGUACACCUCAGAGUAAAGAAUCAAUUACGAUUAACAAGCAAUGCCCUGGCAUUAUGGCAGACGACUGGUUAGCACAUCUGCCUCACAGUUCUGAGGACCCGGGUUCAAAUCUAGCCUCGCCUGUGUGGACUUCACAUUUUUUCCCCCGUGCCGGCGGGGGUUUUCUCCGGGUACUCCGGUUUCCUCCCACAUGCAUGGUAGGUUAAUUAAAAACUCUAAAUUACUCAUAGGUGUGUAUGUGAGUGCGAGAGGAAAAUACUGAAACACAAGAUAAAGCUAGACAGCUUACAUAACAGAGGGACCAGAAACCGGAAACAAAUUCGUUUUUUUAUGCAGGCAUUCGCGUACAUGGAGCUAAGUUUUCUGACGGCAUGCUGGUAGCUGCACAGUUACAGAAAGUUGAGCGGCAUAAAUGAAAUGAGUUCCAAAGCCUAACGCCACCGCAACGAUAUGGGAACAUUUUGGAUUCAAGCCAGUGGAACGCGGCCAUCCCGCUAACACCAACAAGCUGGUAUGUCGAAUUUGUAUGAAGUCGCAAUAAAGACAAGACAACUUAAAACCUCAAAGUGACAAAAUCAAUUUUAAACACAACCAUCCCACCCAAUUUCAAUAGAUUCGAUUUCGGUUAGACAUUUCCCGUUUCUCCUCAGCUUGCAAUUAUGCAACCCUUUGCCCAAAAAUGCAAAUACAAACGUGACUAUGGCGCACGUUUGCUCACAUUAUAUACAGUAUAGCGCUACUAUUGUAAGAGAUGUAGUUAUUCAACAUGUUGACAAAGCAGCGUUUAAAAAAAAGCCGGCAGACCUUGAAAAAGGACAAAUCUUGAAGCAAAAAAGGUUGCUUUGAUUGGCUGAUAACGCAAGGUGCCAAAUUUUAAUAUUUGUUGAAGUGCAAUUUUUGUGAACAGAGCCUGAGUCGGUUUUCAGUAUAUUACAUUUAUUGUUCUACAUUACAAUGUUCAUUGUUCUUAGAAUUCAAAGUGAAUUGUUCUUAAAAAUGAUGCAUUUGAAUUAUUAUACUGUAAUAUCAUUAUAUCAAUGCCAUAAAAAAACAUCAAGGAUACUAUCGUUUGUCGUGAUAGUUUUCGGUAAAAUUUAUUGUUCUAAAAUAUUUUCUAUCAUGAAAGGCCUAAAUAAAUAUAAUAUACUGAGAGAGAGCAAUGGAUAACAAAAGAAUAUUGUACAAACAGAAUAAAAAAACUAGAGUAACACCUAUAAUAAAAAAUAAUAAUAAUAAUAUAGCGGGACCGUGAAGCAAGAACCGUUGUAGAGACUCAUUGUUCCCAGGUUGGGACUCAUUGUUUCCAUGACGUGCAUCUCACAUAGUCUCAAGUGUAAAAUGAUCUUUGCAAGAAUAUAAUAAAUCUCUAUAAUAUAAGAUAACCUUUAUUAGUCCCAUAAUGGGGAAAUUUGUAUAAUUUCAUUAGCAAUAGUGGAUACAGGAAAAAUAAAUAGCAUAAAUAGCAAUAGAAAAAAUAGCAUGCAAGAGAAGAGAAUUUUGGCUGCAAACACAUCUGUUAUUUUAAGGUUGAUCCAAUAAAUUCUUUGAAAUAACAAAUAUUAAAUCCAUAAUUUAUUCACAACUACAAUUACAGAGUAAUGAUUAUGUUGCGAAAUUGAGCAGCAUGCAACUUUUUUAAAAUCCUAUUACAUAAUAUACUGUAAUAACUGUCCUACGGUAAUGUUCUUGACAUACAUUUAAAAAUAUGGAAAUUUAGACAUUGUUCUGGAAGUGAAUUUCUGUAGGUUGGCAGCUCUGCAGUCGUAGCAAUAAAUGCAAUUUUACUAAUAACUGACAGUUUGAUCAUUAAUAAUUGGUGGGUUUGAUUUAUUUGUAUGUAUUAAUUUAUGUAAAGCGCUUUGUGUUGCACUUUUUUCUAUGAAAAGCGCUUACAAAUAAAUAUUGACUGAUUGAGAAUUUUUUCCAGUGUUAGGACUUCCAGCCGUGGGUUCCUCAGUUUCGGUUUUCGAGAAUUUUCAUCCUUGUGCAUCACUAAUUAUAAUAUAACCAUACAAUAUGUACGAUGACAAUGCGGUGUACGAUGUAUAAAUUGUGACUACGUGAUAUGAACUAUGUUAUACGUCUAUGUGAUAUUACCAUGACGAUGUAAUAUGUGCUAUAUGGAUUACGUAUUAUGACGAUGCAAUAUGUAUUAUGACUAUGUGAUAUGCACGAAGUCUAUCCGGUGGGUACUACUUACUAUGACUAUGUGCUAUGUACGAUGACUAUGUGGUGUGUGCUUUGUGCCAGGUGCUAUGUACUGUGACUAUAUGAUAACUACAAUGAUUUUGUACCUUUGUGAGAGCUUGGCCAAUGUAAAGCAGCGCUGGUGUGGUGACGGGAUGUCGGAAAUCAGACGUGGGAAACAGCAACGCUGCCACCUUCAGGAUGAAUCCGUCGUUGAUGUCGUCGGCCGAAACGUGACUUUGACU